rnacentral:rRNA from 1 species
UUCUAGGGCCACGCCACCCUGAACAAGCCCCGUCCCGUCUGAUCUCGGAAGCUAAGCAGGGUGGUGCCUGGUUAGUACUUGGAUGGGAGACCACCUAGGAAGACCGGGUGCUGUAGGCG